rnacentral:lncRNA from 1 species
GAGUUGCUGGGAAGAGUCUAGAAGGGGGUUGGGGCUCCCCUAUUUGCAAACUCUCAGGGGUCACAGGGGCUUGCUAGCCCAACCCAGGUGGAGGUGUGGGCUUCAUUCUUGGUAGCAAUUAUAUAUUGAAGGGAGAAAGACAAAGAAAAAAAGUUGCUAUCAAAUCAGAUCCAUGAGCUUGAUGGGUGGGGUUUGAUGAAGAUAUUCAAUUUAAGACUCAGUGCUCCAUAAUUUUUCACCCUUUGCAUAUUGUCCAGUUGUGGGUGUCUGGGCCAGUUACCAUCAACUGCAAGAGGAAACGUCUAUGACUCCGUGAGAGGCCAUGGAAGGCCAUUGGUGAAAGUGCAGCCUCAGGUGCAUUUGACGGCCCAGGACUGAAGGGGUCAUGCAGUGUUUUGGAGAUGCCAGUACCAUGAGAUGACCACCAAGAGUAGCAGCAGCAGUGGAGGACAGGCAUCUGGAGCCUAGAGGAUGACAAAUGUGCUACAAAGAGCAUGGCUGGAGAAAUGACCCAAGCCCUUGGAGGAGCCCAGAAGAUCGUGGGUUGGAUCCUAGACAUUGGACAGUUGGAGUUUAAUCUUUGCUUCUGAUUGUGACUGUGCCCUGAUAUUUUUCCCUCUUGAAGGAAGAAAAUAUUUUAGUGGACCCCACAGUUAAGAGACUUUUAAUUAUAAAAAGACUUUGGAUUUUAAAAGACAUUUUAUAUUUUUAAAGGAUUGAACUUUUAAUAUGUAAAGACUGUGGGACUUUUAAUGUUAUUUAAGAUCUUGGGGAUGAAUAAGAAUGUAAGGGUUGAGGCUUACUAGUGAUUUGUUUGUGUGUCAGGUUGACAAGGGGUCAAUUGUACUGGCUAGUUUUGUAUCAACUUGACACAGCUGGAGUUAUCACAGAGAAAGGAGCUUCAGUUGAGGAAAUGCCCCCAUGAGAUCCAACUGUAAGGCAUUUUCUCAAUUAGUGAUCAAGGGGGAAAGGCCCCUUGUGGGUGGAACCAUCUCUGGGCUGGUAGUCUUGGUUCUAUAAGAGAGCAGGCUGAGCAAGCCAGGGGAAGCAAGCCAGUAAAGAACAUCCCUCCAGGACCUCUGCAUCAGCUCCUACUCCCUGACCUGCUUGAGUUCCAGUCCUGACUUCCUUGGUGAUGAACAGCGUAUGGAAGUGUAAGCCAAAUAAACCCUUUCCUCCCCCCCCCAAAAAAAAAAA